CUUCACAGGUUAACCCGUGGCCUGAGUGAGGAAGGCAAUGUCCUUGCUAGUCACUAUUUGUGGCGACAUCUUCAAAUUGCGUGAAACCCGUCAUACAGCUUCAAGUACCACUUCAAUUGAGAAAUCUUUUGAAGGAACAGAGGUAACUCCUCUUCCCAACGGUAACAAGCUUGAAGACACGGUGGCAAUGCGCAGCCAAGCUCCUAAGUAUUUUAAAUAUAAGGAGAAGGUUCAGAGAGCAGACGGAGAUGGGCGGUAAUUAUCGCCGCUUAAGGUGUGCUCCAGCCUCUUUCGAAAGAUUGAG
rfam:Macrostomum lignano uti_cns_0009869, whole genome shotgun sequence.